rnacentral:lncRNA from 1 species
CAAAAUUUACCUGCUGGGUUUUUAGCACUCGUUGGCGAAUAAACCAGUGUGCUUUGCCUGGAGUUCACAGACGGGAAACCAUACGGAACCAAGAGUACCCACUGGGAGUGGGAAACCAGGAAGAAUCGAGUCACCACGGCCUUGUCUGGGUCGAAAAGCAAGCUUCUGGAAGAAGGAGCCAUGUGAUCGCCUACUCCAGAGGUUUCUUUACCCAUCCAGAUCACGGCAAAGUUCUGGCAAUCACUGGCAAUCACUUCACAAAAGUAAGUUGGAGUCAGCAGUUCCUGUCAUGGCAGAGCUUUCGUCUACACACGUGCAUUCUUCUCAGUCCGGGGGUAAACAUCAAAGCUCCAGCUGCAGUGUUCACAAAGGAACGUUUUCAUCCCAAAUAA